UGCGCAGGUGGGCUUGUAAGUCAGUGGUGAAAUACUGCCGCUUAACGGUAGAACUGCCAUUGAUACUGCAAGUCUUGAGUAUGGUUGAGGUAGGCGGAAUGUGUUGUGUAGCGGUGAAAUGCAUAGAUAUGACACAGAACUCCAAUUGCGAAGGCAGCUUACUAAGCCAUUACUGACGCUGAGGUACGAAAGCGUGGGGAGCGAACAGGAUUAGAUACCCUGGUAGUCC
rnacentral:rRNA from 1 species